CAAUUUAAUCUGUUCACCCGACCCGCCCGCACCCUCACUUAUUUUCCCCCUUUCCCCCCCUGUGUUGCCUCCUUUUUUUUUUUCAUUUCACGUUUUGUAGCCCUAGGUUCUUCAACAUGUCUCUGUCUCUCUCAACUCUCUCUCUCUCUCUCUCUCUCUCUCUCUCUCUCUACUACCCUACCCAUCGUCGGACGAUCUACAUACACGGCGUCGGCGAUCAUCUGCACGGCGUCGGUGAUCGAUCUACAUGGCGUCGUUGGCGAUCGAUCUAGAUUCUACACUACUGACUGAGGUUGAGCCUGCAAAAAAGACACAAAAUGGCAAGCAACAGUCAAUAGGGAAGAUUAUCCACAAAGGCACUGAUGGUGGUAAUAAAAGAGCUUCUAGCUCUGCCAAUGUUAAUCUGCCGUUGAACUUAGAGACCUCCA